CUCUGCUGCGAUCCUGGCUAUGGAACUGCAUGAAGAAAGGAAUUCAGAGCAGCUCAUGUUCUGGUCCUGGCUCAAACGGAGAUCGGAAAUCUGCUCUUGCAAAAUUGCGUAUGGAUAAAGAUGGAAUCUACACCGCCAUGCGCCACAAUUCCUCGCUUAAGAACAUCUGCUGUUUGCAACUUGUGCUGCACUUAUUUCUGAUGUUGCAAACUGAUUUGGGGAGUAACUAUGGUCCCCAUAACUAGCUCAGAGUUAGGUCCCCACAUUGUCUCGUCUCCCUGAAUAUCUGCACCAACUUAGAAGUAAACACCCAAAAACCAAUCUAUCAGCACCUCCACUAAUUUUACAACAGAAAAAUGCAAAUUGAUUGAAGGGCUAUCGUUAUUUGCUGGGAAAUUAAUGUUGCUGCUGCGCAUAUUAGACCUACGAAUGGUGCGCAGCAGCAGGAUGUGGAACCUCAAAACUCCUUCAUGCCCGUUUGUUUGUAUUGUGUUGCAGAAAGUAGAAAGUCAUACUUGAGUACAGAGGUGUCUAGGUAGUGUGUCUGAGCAGUCUAAAGUGCUGGAUUAAGGCUUCAGUCUCUGAGGAAGUGUGGGUUCAAACCCCACUGCUGCCAGUUGUACCAGGGCUUUGUCGCACUAGUGUGUUGCAAGGGCAAGUUCAGUUUAAGUUGCAUUCACAGAAAAGUGCUCUGUUUUGAUCCCCACAGUCUAUGAUGAGUGACAGUACAGAAGCUUCAUCAAGUCAGUGGCGCCGUUGUGUUUCUGGAGUGUAGUGGUGAUCACGUUCGCUUCACAUACAAUGACAUCUUCGGUUGAAUAGAGCACUGCUGCCUCAUUAUCUUGGCACGAUGUGUUGUACUUUUCAUUCCAGCGAUGGUUGUCCUGGAGAGGUGGCCGGUGAGCUGCCUUCUCGGACUCGUGCAAUCAUUGUGGUGCAUGCACACCCACUGUGCUGAUCGAAAGGGAAACCUGAUGGAAUCCAGGCUUUGACUGGUAACUUCAAUUUAUUUUUUAAUGUGAAACCUUCUCGAAUUUGGCGAUGGACUAAGGCUCCAAUCUGUUUGGAGGUGCAUUUUGGAAUCAACAGCCCCGGCCCGGCUACAAGUUAUAUCAAUUCCACAGUGUUUUGGAAAUUGAGGAUGUGCAGUCGCAAUACAUACAAAACAUCACACCAGGAUCUGACAGAGUUGUGGAAUAUAAUGUAAGCUGAAUAUCAUUGGAUUUUAAACAUGGAAGGUGGAUGCACCAUUCGUAGCUAAGAGAAACUGUGCACAGAUUCUGUGUGGAUAAGACUACAGGAGAACAUCUGAUUUUUUAAAAACUAAACCAAUGCCACACUGACAAGAAACUGUGGAUAUCUGGGGACUGUGGGAAGGGUUUCAAUUAUCCAUUCAAGCUGCAAACACAUCUGUGCAGUGACACCAGGGAGAAACUGUUCACCUGCUCCAUGUGUGAGAAGCCAUAUGUGAUGACCUCCCGCCUGCUGGCUCACCAGCGGGUUCACAGUGGAAAGGGGUUGUUCCCCUGCUCUGAGUGUGGCAAGGAAUUCAUUCAGUCACUCCCCACGCCCUGCUGACACACCAGCGAGUUCACACUGGGGAGAGACUGUUCACCUGCUCUAAGAGUGGGAAGGAUUUCUCCUGGUCAUCCAACCUCGUGAAACAUCACCAGGUUCAGUCUGAGGAAAGACCCUUUAAAUGUGCAGACUGUGGGAACUGCUAUAAGAGCUCAAGUGGAUUGAUGUACCAUCAAUGUGUUCACACUGAAGAGAGACUGUUCAAGUGCUCUCACUGCGGGGCUGGAUUCAGGACAUCAUCUACUCUCACUGUGCACCAGCAAAUACACACAGCCAUUCACCUGCACAGAGUGUGGGAAGAAAUUCACUCGGUCAUCCAACUUGAUGAAACACCAGCAAGUUCACAAGUAACUGCAGUCACUGGAUGUUUUUUGUUUGUUUGUUCAUGGGAUCAUGGCAUCGCUGGCUCGGCCAAUAUUAACCAUCCAUUCUAACUGCCCAGAGGAUGGUUAAGAGUCAACCACAUUGUUAUGGAACAGAAUUCACAUGUAGGCUGGAUCAAGUCAGAAGAAACAAGGCCCAAUGGUACAAAGAGUUGAUUCCUGGUCUCUUAUCCUGUUUCUGAAAUGAUAAUGAAUAAUUGUACAGCUGAUUUAAAUGCGAAAGACCAAAAUGGGUUUUAUUCUGAUUGAGUACAUCCUCCUGUUUUCUCAGUUGUUAUUGACAAUCUCAUUCCCCUCGCACCAUAACCUGUUCCAGAGAGUGUUACAGAAAAGAGGGAAUGGUCAGCUGCAGUUGGUCACUUGAAGGGUCACUUCAACCCAAAAGGUUAACUCUGAUUUCUCUCCAUAGAUGCUCCAGAACUGCUGAAUGUUUCCAGUUGGUUUUGCCUCUGAUUUUCAAUAUUUACAGUUUCUAAAAAAAAAUCAAUAUUCACUGUGUAUGGUUCAGAGGUGUUUCAUUGAUGAGGUUGGUGCGUUUUGGAAGUUGAAUGUUAGACCACAGAUCAGACAUGAUCCCAUUGAAUGGCAGUACAGG